rnacentral:rRNA from 1 species
GACGAACGCUGGCGGCGUGCUUAACACAUGCAAGUCGAACGGAAAGGCCCCUUUGGGGGUACUCGAGUGGCGAACGGGUGAGUAACACGUGAGUAACCUGCCCUUGACUUCGGGAUAACUUCAGGAAACUGGGGCUAAUACCGGAUAGGAAUCCUUGCUGCAUGGUGGGGGUUGGAAAGCUUCGGCGGUUUUGGAUGGACUCGCGGCUUAUCAGCUUGUUGGUGGGGUAGUGGCUUACCAAGGCGUUGACGGGUAGCCGGCCUGAGAGGGCGACCGGCCACAUUGGGACUGAGAGAAGGCCCAGACACCUACGGGAGGCAGCAGUGGGGAAUAUUGCACAAGGGGCGGAAGCCUGAUGCAGCAACGCCGCGGGCGGGAUGACGGCCUUCGGGUUGUAAACCGCUUUCAGCAGGGGCGAAGCUUGUGGUGACGGUACCUGCAGAAGAAGCACCGGCUAACUACGUG